CAAUAUCAUUGCACCAUCUGGGUGGUAGACACUCAUUAACUUGUUUGGGGGUUCUGUUUUGUGAAAUAACAAUGAUUUUCUGGGAGAGAAGUUAUGUUAAAAGCUAUAAAUGGGCUUGAAAUUGCAACACUGGAUAAAAAUUUGGCAACUGGGAUGAGAAGUUUAAAAACGUAUUCCUAAUUGUGCUUCUCACAUACAGGACAACCUUUAUUGUCAUAAAUCGGACGUAUUUUAUGUAUUGUUGCAGGAUGAUGAGAUGAAAAGCAUAAGG
rnacentral:misc_RNA from 1 species